rnacentral:tRNA from 1 species
AUCCAGGGAUGGGAAUCGAAACCACAGUGUUCCGCUUACCGGGAAGAUGCCAUGUCCACUUUGCUAUCCUGGA